AAAAUGAUUCUGCAUGACUCGACGCUGUAUGAAGUCUUUGUUUUUUUCGGAAAACAAGCUCAAUGAGAGCCAUCGGGGGUAUAUCUAUCCCAUGACUAGUGGUGGAAUACGUUGACUCAUGGGAGAGAAUCGGAGGCGAAGGCGUCUACCUAAAGGGUUUCUGUCGAUCAAGGGCGACAGUAGGAGUAUCCAACAGGAUUAUAGACCCUGGUAGUUCCUACUGUAAACGAUGCCGACAGGAGUUUGUCAUUUUCUAAUGGCAGAAUCUUUAGAGAAAUCAUAGUUCUUGGGCUCUGGGGGAACUACGACCGCAAGGCUGAAACUUGAAGGAAUUGACGGAAGGGCACACCAGGGGUGGAGCCUGUGGCUUAAUUUGAAUCAACACGGGGAUAUUCCCCAAAACAGAAAUU
rnacentral:rRNA from 1 species